AUGUUUUAAUGGCUGCAGUAUUUUAACUGUGCGAAGGUAGCAUAAUAAUUUUCUAAUAAUUGGAAGGUUGGAUGAAAGGGUUAACUAAUAUUUGCUGUAUUAAUGUGUUAUUGUAAUUUUAUAAAAAGGUUAGAAAUCCUUUUAAUUCUAAAGGGACGACAAGACCCUGGAAGCUUUAAAGUUGUUAAGACUUAUUUAGCUGGGGUGGUUUAUAAUAAAAACAUUAGAAUUAAAACAUUUGUGUGGAUUUUUUGAACAUAGUUUAGGCACUGAGAUAAGCUACUCCAGGGAUAACAGCGUAAUUUUAUUUCAGAGUCCAUAUCGAAGAUAUAGUUGUGACCUCGUUGU
rnacentral:rRNA from 1 species